rnacentral:rRNA from 1 species
AAAUCCGCUUUGAUAAUGCUGGGAUGUGAUGGGGAGCGAAAUUUAGUAGCGAAGUAGCUGAUUUCACACUGUCAAGAAAAGUCUCUAUCGAGGUUAAAGGUACCCGUACCGCAAACCGACACAGGUGGGUGAGGAGAGUAUCCUAAGGCCAGCGAGAGAACUGUUGUUAAGGAACUCGGCAAAAUGACCCCGUAACUUAGGGAUAAGGGGUGCCACCAUCAGGUGGCCGCAGAGAAUAGGCCCAAGCGACUGUUUACCAAAAACAUAGGUUUCUGCUAAGUCGCAAGACGAUGUAUAGGAGCUGACGCCUGCCCGGUGCUGGAAGGUUAAGGGGAUCUGUUAGAGCAAUCGAAGCAGUGAACUUAAGCCCCAGUAAACGGCGGCCGUAACUAUAACGGUCCUAAGGUAGCGAAAUUCCUUGUCGGGUAAGUUCCGACCCGCACGAAAGGCGUAACGAUUUGGGCACUGUCUCAACAACAGACUCGGUGAAAUUGUAAUUCCGGUGAAGAUGCCGGAUACCUGCGACAGGACGGAAAGACCCCAUGGAGCUUUACUGUAGCUUGACAUUGGGUCUUGGUACUACAUGUACAGGAUAGGUGGGAGGCUUUGAAACCAGGACGCCAGUUUUGGCGGAGCCAUCCUUGGGAUACCACCCUUGUAGUACUGGGACUCUAACCAUAGGCCAUGAAUCUGGUCUUGGGACACUGUCAGGUGGGCAGUUUGACUGGGGCGGUCGCCUCCCAAAAGGUAACGGAGGCGCUCAAAGGUUCUCUCAGUACGGUCGGAAAUCGUACGUAGAGUGUAAAGGCAAAAGAGAGCUUGAUUGCAAGACAUACAGGUCGAGCAAGGAUGAAAAUCGGACUUAGUGAUCCGGUGGUUCUGCGUGGAAGGGCCAUCGCUCAACGGAUAAAAGCUACCCUGGGGAUAACAGGCUUAUCUCCCCCAAGAGUCCACAUCGACGGGGAGGUUUGGCACCUCGAUGUCGGCUCAUCACAUCCUGGGGCUGUAGUAGGUCCCAAGGGUUGGGCUGUUCGCCCAUUAAAGUGGUACGCGAGCUGGGUUCAGAACGUCGUGAGACAGUUCGGUCCCUAUCCGUCGCAGGCGUAGGAAAUUUGAGAAG